UAUACUUUCAGCAAGAUGCAGUACUGCAUUCGAGAUUGGUUUGAGAUCUGGAACAUCAGGCUUGCCAACAGCUUGAAUUUUUCUAGUAUAAGGCAUAAAAUCACACACCACACCCAUGCUGUCUGCCAACACAAAUAUCUUAUAACCCCAUUUAUGAGUUUUUUUUAUUUCUUGAAUGUUUACCUCUCUCUUCAUAUCGUCCUUUCACUUCCUUAUUCUCUUCACAAUGCUGUUAUACAUGACUGACCUUGGAAGGGACCAUUUGCUCAUCUACACACAGGUUUUCUGUCGUGGGGAUUUGUGGAAACUUCUCCUGUAGGUGGUUAACUAGAGGUCUCACCUUGCAUAUUUUGUCAGUUUUGUCUAGUGUCGUGUUGUCAACAAAAUGCAGAUUUGAUUUUAUUUCCUUCACCCACUUCAUAACACUCAUCCCCGCUAACUUCGGCAUCACUGGCAGCUAACAAUGUUUCCACCAGCCUUUCGGUGGUGUUGGAACUUUUAUUUUGUCCGCAGAAUGCAGUAGUACUGCAGCAACGAGAGGGUCCUGCAAGAAUAUUUACUUGUCACUCAUUGUUUUUAAUUCAUUACACAUCUAUGGUGUUAUAGUGUAAAUCAAACCAAGUUUAAUAUAUAACAAAACUAUUUGCAUGUCACUGCAAAAAUAUAUCGGUAGUAUAACAAAGACGAAAAUAUUACUCAUUUAUAUAAUAGUAUUCAUUUGCCUGAUAGGACAGAAAUGUCACCUUUAAACAAGCACUACAGAUGUUUGGCAAAGGGUGAUAUGAGGAUUUUUGGGAUGUAAAUAUGAUCUUUAGGUGUGCGUUUAUCACAGCAAAUUUUGUCAUAAUUGUGCUUUACCUGGGGAUACAUCCAUGAUGCAGUGAAAGUGGCUGCUUUGCGCAACCUCCGGCACGCAUCCACCUGCUCUCAGUGUCCUGGUUCAUCCGAGAAGCGGCAACCAUUCCAGUGUAAACAAAGGUGCCGAUCGAAAGCUGAAACGGGACUUGUAUGUCCUGACCGGCGAGCGAACUCUGAUACUUGACAUCCGCAGAGUUAAAACCAUGUAUUCCAAGGAGGACAUAUUUGUCCUCUUCGACAGUAAAGGGUUAAGACCCCUGUACUCCCAAAGCAAACCUCGUCUUUAAUUUUCAGGGAGAGUGAUCUAUACUAUCCCUAUUACUACUACUAUUAUGACUAUUUCCAGGUUAAAAGUGACUACCUGGAGGAUGAAAGCAGGGCGGCAGAAGGCAUGGAUUUCGACACAGCCAUCCAGCUCGUUUGCAUCGAAAUCAAGCGAGUCUUUAAGCGGAUGAACGGAUGCGCGAUGGACAAGAAGUCAAAUCUUGAGCAGCCGGAGAAGGAAGUCGGUCUACAUGAAUUCCUACCGGCCUACAUCAUCAACACCACCAAACAGAAAACGUUACGUAAGGCUUUGCAGGGAAACUUUAAGAAAUUCUCGGCGUUCUUCGAUUACGAAUCUCACUUCAAGUGCCUCGAGAUUUUGGGAAAAGUUGGAAAGUUUGACAUCGAAAACUUCCGCUGUGCACUCGGCUGUGGUUGGUCUAUUCCUGUCACUCUGCUUGUCGGCCCAAGUGUUGGUAUUUCCUACUGGACAGAUUCUGCCUCUGCCGUAGCAGGUACUACAGAAGCCCUCACCAUCACCAUCACCUGCCCCUCCAUUGGCGCAGCAGAGAGCUUAGC